rnacentral:rRNA from 1 species
GACGAACGCUGGCGGCGUGCUUAACACAUGCAAGUCGAACGGAAAGGCCCUGCUUUUGUGGGAUGCUCGAGUGGCGAACGGGUGAGUAACACGUGAGUAACCUGCCCUUGACUUUGGGAUAACUUCAGGAAACUGGGGCUAAUACCGGAUAGGAGCUCCUGCUGCAUGGUGGGGGUUGGAAAGUUUCGGCGGUUGGGGAUGGACUCGCGGCUUAUCAGCUUGUUGGUGGGGUAGUGGCUUACCAAGGCUUUGACGGGUAGCCGGCCUGAGAGGGUGACCGGCCACAUUGGGACUGAGAUACGGCCCAGACUCCUACGGGAGGCAGCAGUGGGGAAUAUUGCACAAUGGGCGGAAGCCUGAUGCAGCAACGCCGCGUGCGGGAUGACGGCCUUCGGGUUGUAAACCGCUUUCGCCUGUGACGAAGCGUGAGUGACGGUAAUGGGUAAAGAAGCACCGGCUAACUACGU